GGAUAUGAAGGCAAUCUGGCUGUGACAUGUGUCACCCAUUCCAUCAUCAGGGCUGAUGCGGCUGAUGUGGCUGGUAGGUGUCCUCUUUCUCCUCACUGCCUCAGGUGCAUCCGCCCCAAAGCCAGGCACUCAGUGCUCUUGAUGGAGGAGAACGGCCUUCCCUGAAUAGAGGAGGACCUGUUUUCAGUCAAGGGUAUGUGAGUUCACUCCCCUGCUACAACCUCCCAACAAGCUCAGAGAAGAAGAAAAAUAGCCAGGCAGUGGUGGCGCACGCCUUUGAUCCCACCCAGCACUUGGGAGGCAGAGGCAGGUGGAU
rnacentral:snRNA from 1 species